rnacentral:rRNA from 1 species
AUGAACGCUGGCGGCGUGCCUAAUACAUGCAAGUCGAACGAGUUCUCGUUGAAUCUCGGUGCUUGCACCGAGAUUCAACAUGGAACGAGUGGCGGACGGGUGAGUAACACGUGGGUAACCUGCCCUUAAGUGGGGGAUAACAUUUGGAAACAGAUGCUAAUACCGCAUAGAUCCAAGAACCGCAUGGUUCUUGGCUGAAAGAUGGCGUAAGCUAUCGCUUUUGGAUGGACCCGCGGCGUAUUAGCUAGUUGGUGAGGUAAUGGCUCACCAAGGCGAUGAUACGUAGCCGAACUGAGAGGUUGAUCGGCCACAUUGGGACUGAGACACGGCCCAAACUCCUACGGGAGGCAGCAGUAGGGAAUCUUCCACAAUGGGCGGAAGUGUGAUGGAGCAAGGCCGCGUGAGUGAAGAAGGCUUUCGGGUCGUAAAACUCUGUUGUUGGAGAAGAAUGGUCGGCAGAGUAACUGUUGUCGGCGUGACGGUAUCCAACCAGAAAGCCACGGCUAACUACGUGCCAGCAGCCGCGGUAAUACGUAGGUGGCAAGCGUUAUCCGGAUUUAUUGGGCGUAAAGCGAGCGCAGGCGGUUUUUUAAGUCUGAUGUGAAAGCCCUCGGCUUAACCGAGGAAGCGCAUCGGAAACUGGGAAACUUGAGUGCAGAAGAGGACAGUGGAACUCCAUGUGUAGCGGUGAAAUGCGUAGAUAUAUGGAAGAACACCAGUGGCGAAGGCGGCUGUCUGGUCUGUAACUGACGCUGAGGCUCGAAAGCAUGGGUAGCGAACAGGAUUAGAUACCCUGGUAGUCCAUGCCGUAAACGAUGAAUGCUAGGUGUUGGAGGGUUUCCGCCCUUCAGUGCCGCAGCUAACGCAUUAAGCAUUCCGCCUGGGGAGUACGACCGCAAGGUUGAAACUCAAAGGAAUUGACGGGGGCCCGCACAAGCGGUGGAGCAUGUGGUUUAAUUCGAAGCAACGCGAAGAACCUUACCAGGUCUUGACAUCUUUUGAUCACCUGAGAGAUCAGGUUUCCCCUUCGGGGGCAAAAUGACAGGUGGUGCAUGGUUGUCGUCAGCUCGUGUCGUGAGAUGUUGGGUUAAGUCCCGCAACGAGCGCAACCCUUAUGACUAGUUGCCAGCAUUUGGUUGGGCACUCUAGUAAGACUGCCGGUGACAAACCGGAGGAAGGUGGGGAUGACGUCAAAUCAUCAUGCCCCUUAUGACCUGGGCUACACACGUGCUACAAUGGAUGGUACAACGAGUUGCGAGACCGCGAGGUCAAGCUAAUCUCUUAAAGCCAUUCUCAGUUCGGACUGUAGGCUGCAACUCGCCUACACGAAGUCGGAAUCGCUAGUAAUCGCGGAUCAGCACGCCGCGGUGAAUACGUUCCCGGGCCUUGUACACACCGCCCGUCACACCAUGAGAGUUUGUAACACCCGAAGCCGGUGGCGUAACCCUUUUAGGGAGCGAGCCGUCUAAGGUGGGACAAAUGAUUAGGGUG